rnacentral:lncRNA from 1 species
UUAAAUUGUCCUUUUUCAGUAGUCUCCAACAGCUCACAGCCUAUGGAAGGGUCAGUGUUAUGUCCACAAGGUGGGUUUCCACUGCUGUGCCCAGCAUUCAGAGUUUCCAUGCCAGAACCCUUUGGACCUUCACUGCGUUUCCACACUGGAAAUCAAUUUAAACGCCACAUCUCCACUGCAAACUUAUACUCUGCUUUAGACACUGGACCAGUGUGUGGUUCAAAGGCCAGUGGACUACACCUGAAAGAAUGUCCCAUGAAGAAUGACCACUUCAAAGGUUAA